rnacentral:rRNA from 1 species
UACUCCUACGGGAGGCAGCAGUGGGGAAUUUUGGACAAUGGGCGAAAGCCUGAUCCAGCAAUGCCGCGUGCAGGAUGAAGGCCUUCGGGUUGUAAACUGCUUUUGUACGGAACGAAAAAGCUCCUUCUAAUACAGGGGGCCCAUGACGGUACCGUAAGAAUAAGCACCGGCUAACUACGUGCCAGCAGCCGCGGUAAU